CGAACGCUGGCGGCGUGCUUACCACAUGCAAGUCGAACGAAGAGCGACGGAAGCUUGCUUCUAUCAAUCUUAGUGGCGAACGGGUGAGUAACGCGUAAUCAACCUGCCCUUCAGAGGGGGACAACAGUUGGAAACGACUGCUAAUACCGCAUACGAUCUAAUCUCGGCAUCGAGGAUGGAUGAAAGGUGGCCUCUACAUGUAAGCUAUCACUGAAGGAGGGGAUUGCGUCUGAUUAGCUAGUUGGAGGGGUAACGGCCCACCAAGGCGAUGAUCAGUAGCCGGUCUGAGAGGAUGAACGGCCACAUUGGGACUGAGACACGGCCCAGACUCCUACGGGAGGCAGCAGUGGGGAAUCUUCCGCAAUGGACGAAAGUCUGACGGAGCAACGCCGCGUGAGUGAUGACGGCCUUCGGGUUGUAAAGCUCUGUUAAUCGGGACGAAAGGCCUUCUUGCGAAUAGUGAGAAGGAUUGACGGUACCGGAAUAGAAAGCCACGGCUAACUACGUG
rnacentral:rRNA from 1 species